rnacentral:miRNA from 15 species
CAAAAGACUUGAAGCAAUUUUA